rnacentral:lncRNA from 1 species
UCGUAUCAAGUGCUCGAGCAUUGGAGGCCAAAACAGGGCAGGCCGAUUGGCCUACAAGGGUCCAAGCCGAUCAGCAUGACCUGUUUUAGGCUCCAUUCGUCACCCCCUUUCACCAGGAGGAAGCCCGCGACGUCCCUAGGGUUAUUUCCCAGAUACUUGACCUCGAAGGCACCCCAACCGAUGCCACCAACUAUAAGUACCCAAGAAAUUCAACAAGAAGGAGGAUCCCAAUGAGUUUAGA